AAGGUUUGAGGUCUUAUAGAUAAAAGAAUGCUAAGUAUAAUAGUACAUGUUUGCCAUAUUAAAUAGAUUUGGAUUUCCUUUGGAAUUCAUAAAAUGGAUCAAGAUAUUAUAUGAGUCACUCACAUCUAAAGUAAAAAUGUACAUGGAACUUGACAACUGGACAAUGUAAAUGGAUUAUCCAUGCCCUUCCUAUGGCUAAAAGACUGACAUUGCAGCAUUGGAAAGAUAAAUGUAUGGCCCCACUGACUCAAUGGACUGAGGACCUGAUUGCGCUUGCCACCUGUGAGUGGAUUGCCUAUAGACGCAGACUUGGUAUGGACAAGUAGAAUGAAAUGUGGGACUCAUUUAUACAAAUUACAGUGAACCCUUUCAGCCUGUGAAAUCACUGUGUGGGCUACUGGAGCAGAAUCAGACCGCAAGCCCACAAUCCACCUCACUGU